CAUGUUUAUGUUCCUUGUAUGAUCUCUCUAGUUCAUUUAAUUCUCAUCUUGUUGAUAUGAUUGUGGCCAUGAUUGUACAGUUUUUAAUUGACAUAACAUAUUAAAGUUGUUUGGUAGAGUUGCAAUGUGAAUGGGAAAUCUUGGUCAUAAGGGAUAGUCUGUGGUCUGUCGUGGAGUGGAGAAUGAUCCUCCACCACAGUUGUGUUUCCUUCUGUAUGCCAUUAG
rnacentral:lncRNA from 1 species